AAGAUAUUAGUAAUAAUCAUUACAUAACUUUGCCAUAGUUAAGUUACAGGUUUAACCCCUGUAUAUCUUA
rnacentral:tRNA from 1 species